rnacentral:rRNA from 1 species
UACGAAGGGGCUAGCGUUGUUCGGAAUUACUGGGCGUAAAGCGUAUGCAGGCGGAUCAUUAAGUCGGGGGUGAAAUCCCGAGGCUCAACCUCGGAACUGCCUUCGAUACUGAUGAUCUUGAGUCCGGGAGAGGUGAGUGGAACUGCGAGUGUAGAGGUGAAAUUCGUAGAUAUUCGCAAGAACACCAGUGGCGAAGGCGGCUCACUGGCCCGGUACUGACGCUGAGGUGCGAAAGCGUGGGGAGCAAACAGG